rnacentral:lncRNA from 1 species
UACCCUCUUUUGCUGGAGGCAGGACAUGGCACGAAAGGGACCCUUCUUCUGAGUCAGCCUUAAAUACACCCUUAUUUCUGCUUUCGUGCCGUCUGAGAAGAGCCGCCUCUUGGUGGCCCCGAAGCCUUCGGACUUGGCGGGCGUCAAUCACGCGGGGUCGUUAUUCCUAGAGCUGUGAUCCUUCCAGGUCCACCUCCUUCUUUGCAGCAUGUUUGUUUUUCUCGCCAAGAGCUAGGAUUCGGCCUUUGACAAAUUCUCAUUUGCCAAAGGUAAGUAAAAGGAGGGAAAACGCGUUCGGGUCACCAUUUUACCCCAACUCUUUACCGUGUGAUGGUUUUGAAGUUUGAAGGGCAACACACACACACACACACACACACACACAAACACACACACACACACUUCAAGCAUGACAAGAAUGUGAAUUAAAGCAGGCACCAGGCACGGGAUGGAACUGAGAGAAGAGAGACGGCUGAGGGCUCUGACAAGCCUUUUCUUUAUUCUCUUGAGUUAAUUGUGUCACUUCGCACACUGGCAUCAGGAAUAGUGAAAUUCUGACAGGCUAAUUUGAGCUUGUGGGUCCAAUGAAAUGCACAUAAGGCACUUGUUACAUCGGGUGACAGUCAGCGUCAGUGUCUGUUUCGGAGCCAUCCGGUGAUACGGUCGCAGCCUGAAGACCUUGCUUACGUGUGGAAUCCACCAGAAGCCUUCUGUUCUUCCUGUGCUGCCGUGAACCUGCCUGUACUAAUCCUCCCAGGAUGGCUGUGCGGUAAGUCUCUCUGUAUUUAUUCUCUUACGAUUGUGUAUACACCUCCACUGUAGCACAUCUUAUAUUUGUCUUGUUUGAGAGCAGG